UACGUAGGGGGCAAGCGUUUGUCCGGAGUUACUGGGCGUAAAGCGCACGCAGGCGGUCUCUUAAGUUUGGAGUGACAGUUGGUGGCUUAACUGCCAAAGUGCUUCGAAAACUGAGAGACUUGAGGGCUUCAGAGGGACACGGAAUUCCGGGUGGAGUGGUGAAAUGCGUAGAGAUCCGGAGGAACACCAAAGGCGAAGGCAGUGUCCUGGGGAGUACCUGACGCUCAGGUGCGAAAGCCAGGGGAGGCAAACGGG
rnacentral:rRNA from 1 species